UGGUGGGCGCGACAGGGAUUGAACCUGUGACCCCUGCCAUGUCAAGGCAGUGCUCUCCCGCUGAGCUACGCGCCC
rnacentral:tRNA from 1 species